rnacentral:rRNA from 1 species
UGGCGGCAUGGCUUACACAUGCAAGUCGAACGGUAACAGGUCUUCGGAUGCUGACGAGUGGCGAACGGGUGAGUAAUACAUCGGAACGUGCCCGAUCGUGGGGGAUAACGAAGCGAAAGCUUUGCUAAUACCGCAUACGAUCUACGGAUGAAAGCAGGGGACCGCAAGGCCUUGCGCGAACGGAGCGGCCGAUGGCAGAUUAGGUAGUUGGUGGGAUAAAAGCUUACCAAGCCGACGAUCUGUAGCUGGUCUGAGAGGACGACCAGCCACACUGGGACUGAGACACGGCCCAGACUCCUACGGGAGGCAGCAGUGGGGAAUUUUGGACAAUGGGCGAAAGCCUGAUCCAGCCAUGCCGCGUGCAGGAUGAAGGCCUUCGGGUUGUAAACUGC